rnacentral:lncRNA from 1 species
GGAAGUGGGAGCCACAUACCCCGAGCUGGCGGCUUGAGCCUGUGGUAUCUAGGCUCACCUCACUGCGGUUGGUGGAGGUGAUGGAGGUUGCAGCUUGGCCAGCAUGGUAGAAAGGUGGCAGGGCACGUCUGGCUUUUACCACCCAGUUGCUUCGAGCCAGGAGAUGGAGGAGUCAUCUGUUGCACGCUGGAGGCUGGAGCCUGCAGAUGGCAUGGUUCUGUGGCUCACCUCGCUGCAGUUGGUGGCAGAGACAGAGACUGCAGCUUGACCAGAGUGGUGGAGUGAUAUGUAUCUCAAGAGCACUCCACAACAAAGAUUCUGCCUGCAAUCCUCCACUUCAAGAUUCCUUUGCAGAUGGACUCCCAUACAGCUGUGGUUCCUCUAAGUAGUUAUAACUACAUCGAAUCAGAGGAAGGAAGCGAGCAAUCAGAGGAAGCAACUAUAUUGAGGAGUGUUGGCUUCUUUAGAAAGCAGGCAGCACCGUUUCAGUGGGUAUUCAGGUCUUGUUUUCAGGUCUAGUGGAAGUCCUAGCAUAUAAUUAUUAAAAUCCUUAGUGCUUAGAACUAUAAAAAAUAGGUUGGGGCUUUCAUUUAAAGAUAACUAAAUAUGACUGAGCUUUUUCUUAACUUCUGUUGUUGCUGUCCUUCUUGGAGAUUCUCCCAGCUCUCUAAGACUCUAAUAAAUCUUCCUAUUUAAGCGAAACACACAGAUUAGUAAUGAAAGGGACACUGAUAUAGGUUAAAAACUACACUUGUAUAGAAAGAGUGCCCCAAUUUGGUACCUAGCGAUACGGGGGUGGAGCAGAGGAAGGCCAGCUCCUAGAAGGAGAGGAAGAACUAAGUAGGUGGGGAGAGAGAAAGAGCGAGAACCUCAGAGAAAGCCUGGGAGGAAGCUGUGGGGAGUGAAUGUAAUAGCAAGAGUCCCAGAAAUGUCAAUGAAUCUUUCCAAAUACUUAACAUUAACGGUGCUAUUCAUAAAAGUACGCUGCCUUGAAAUGCAGUAUCCCAUGCGAUUAGAUCUUACUGUAGCAGCCGCAGAUACCAGCUAGAUCACUUCUAUUGUCCAUUACCACCUAUGAUGAUUAACAUUGAGUGUCAAUUUGAUUGGAUUGAAGGAUAUGAAGUAUUGUUCCUGGGUGUGUCUGUGAGGGUGUUGCCAAAGGAGAUUAACAUUUUAGUCAGUGGACUGGGGAAGGCAGAUGCACCCUCAAUCUGGGUGGGCAUCACCUAAUCAGCUGCCAGUGUGGCCAGAAUAAAAGCAGACAGAAGAACCUGGAGAAACUAGACUGGCUUAGUUUCCCAGCCUCCAUCUUUCUCCCUGCUGGAUCCUUCCUGUCCUCGGAUAUCGGACUCCAAGUUAUUCGGCUUUGGGACUCUUGGACCUUCAACCACAGACUGAAGGCUGCACUGUCAGCUUUUUAAAGAGACUGUGGGUGGAAGGGAGAAAUAAUUGCAUUGAUGAUGUUUUUGCAGGCUAUCGUGUGAUAAUUUUAUUUAGCAGCUGCUGUCUCUCAAAAUAUUGUAUGAUGUUAGAAAUAAUGGGUCAUGUAUAUUCCUAGAUCAAGAAAUCGAUUCCAAUAUAUGUUAUCAAAGAUGAUUCUGUCUUGAAUUUGAACAGCAGACCAGGGACACUGGCUUCCUUAUUAUUGGAAAUAAAUGGAAAUGUAGAAAAAUAUUAAUAUGUUUCUAAAAUGUAUGUUUAAGUAUAUAAUUUUUCCAAGAAUAUCUAUACAUAAAUGUAUUUGAAUAAAUGCAAUUAACAACAUAUUUUCAUAUAUAUUUGCAUAUUACAAUACAUAUAUAAGCUUAUUUCUAGUUAAUAUAUAGUAUAGAGCAAUUACAUUUUAAAGUUUUAAUUCUAUGAUUAGAUUCAUUUAACAAAACUAUAACGCUGAUGCUGCUGAUAAACGCUAUUUGAGUUGACUUAAGCAUAUGAGGAGAGAAAUAAAUUAGAUUUUUGGCAAGAA